rnacentral:ncRNA from 10 species
AUCGUUCAUCUUCUUAUAUGAAGACGGAAGUAGACGGAAGUCGAAGGAACGCAUG